rnacentral:rRNA from 1 species
CAUGUAGGCGGCAUGACAAGCCUGGUGUGAAAUAUCUCGGCUCAACCGAGAAAACGCACUGGAAACUGUCAAGCUUGAGUAUCGGAGGGGAAGCUAGAAUUCCUGGUGUAGGGGUGAAAUCUGUAGAUAUCAGGAAGAAUACCGGUGGCGAAGGCGAGCUUCUGGCCAGAUACUGACGCUGAGAUGCGAAAGCGUGGGGAGCGAACAGGAUUAGAUACCCUGGUAGUCC